GUGUUGGAAUUCUUAAGAACAGGGAGAAGCACAAGGGUAGCUUUGAGACAGUUCACAUUCAGGAUUCCCUGGGGCAUGAGUUUGCUACCCGUUUGGGAAAUGUGUUCACUCUUGGUAAAGGUAGUAAGCCAUGGGUCUCUCUACCUAAGGGUAAAGGUAUCAAGUUAUCUAUCAUUGAAGAGGCUCGCAAGAGGAUGGCUGCUCAAUCAGCUACAACUGCUUAAAAAUGAUAGGUUGAACUUGAGAUGAAUUUAAUAGGUUGCGCUAUUUUUCUCUUUGUUUAGAGGGUUGCCACCUCUUAUUUUUGGUGUUGCAUUUCAACAUCCUAUGUACUCGGUAUUGUUUUACAUACCUUUUUUUGUCAGGAAAAAACAAUGACUGAGUUUAGACCAAUCAGUUGCCUUUUUAUGUGAUGGUAUUUCAUUGUAAGAGUUUAAGGACCUUGUCGAUGAGUUUAUUCACUUGUUUCAAAAUGAGUUUUUGGUUGUAAUAUCUUCAAAUCCAACCUGCUGUUGUAUUCCAAAGUUGGUGUAGUUCACUAAACCUGAUUCGUAAUUUCAUUUUCAUAAACUUCAAAUGAUGUGGGUUCUUUUGUCCUACUAAUUGUACAAUCAAACAUAAUUGUCGAAUUAUAUGUAUUUUCGGAAUCUCUUUCCUGAUGAUUUCUGAUUUUGAUGUAAUUUUGUUUGAGUUAAUGUCAUUAGAGUUAAAAAUGAGAAGUUCAGUCAUUGAUUAUAUAGUAGAUGACUCGAAUGAGUGAGAACAAUGAAGGAUUAAUAACACUUUGAUAUUGGUUCACUUAGUCCAUCUUUUGUAUUAAAAUGUAAGAACUAAGAAUCAUAUCCUCACAAACAUUAUGAAAAGAAAGUUAUCGUGGGGACAAAUUAUUGUCCAGAUGCAAUUAGUCUUGUAGUGACAACACUUCAAGGCAUACAAUCAACUAAAACUAUUUAGUUCAUAAAUAAUGAUUUCAUUUCUGCUAAUGUAAGUGCCCAACAAGCCAUUUUAUGUACAUGUACUUGAAUACAGAGUUUAAAGAAAUUUCACUGAAGAUCGAUGAUAUGAUAUGUUUGACAUGUCUAUUCAUUUUCCAUUUUAUACAAAGAACUUCAAUAUCAAGUGGUGCUUUGCAAAUGGUUAGUACAACAAAAAUGCUGAGCAUGUAGUAAGGUAUAUUAGGCACAAAUCAUCACUUAGUUGACAUAAAAAUGCACAACCAGGUCCGACUUAGUAGAAAUAAACAUGGUAUUUAAUGAAAGAGCAAAUAGAACCUAAAACAGAAUACAAAAUUUGCACGGUAAAUUCUCACAUCAAUUCAAUCACAAUAGUAAAUUAUUACCUGCAUAACAAAAUAGAAUGUUAUUUUUGGUUUUCAAGCUAGAUAUAAGGAGAUACAUCUUAGUAAGUGUAUUUGCUAACAAAUUCAAACUUCCAUUUCAUAGCUUAAACAUCUUUCUUUCAGAUAAAUAUAGAGGCUAUGUUUGUUGGGUCGCAUAAUUGUUCGAUAAAUAAGGCCCAUAUUCUAAAGUGGUUAAAUGGCCCAAUAUGCUAUAGGCCCAAAACAAAUUGGGCGCAUGAGGUAUGUAAUAUAGUAUUUAAGAGAUUGUAUCUUCAUCUCGUUAGGGUUUGAAGAGACACACCUCUCGCCGGUUGCCGUCACUCGCCGCAGUUAAUCAGUCGGGAAACCGCCAAAAUGGUUAGUUUUCUCUAUCUGUUUAUUAAUCUCGUUAAUUUUUUUAGAUUGUUAUUUGUUGCCUGAUUGAUCAGUUGUAUUUGAGUCUCCAUGGCUUUUGUUCCAGGUCUAGACAGUACUGUAUCAGUUAUACCUUUGCUAAUUGCUUGCUAUAUGUGUAAUUCAUGUAAUAUUAUAUUCUUGGCUGUGCUUUUCGAUUUAUGCGCUGAAAUGUAUGUGUUGAUCUCAAGUGGUGCUGGUUAAUUUUAGGGCUUGUAUGUGUAAAUAAUCAAUUACAUUAGUUACUGUCGCCAUUAGAUAUUAGUGUAUACAGUUUUUUUAGUUGUAUUUUGCUGUCAUUGUGAUUGCUGUUGCACUCUGUGUUGUACUGUAUCCUUCUUAAAAAAUUAAUUUUGUUACAAGAUAAGAUUACUAAAUAAUUAGUAAAGACAUAGUGAGAAAAUAAAUAGAUCAGGCCAAAUUGGUCGUUACACAAAGUAAGACAAAUCCCUUACUGCUGAUUUAAUGAUAGCUUGAGGUUUGGACAGUGGAAUUGUGUAGUAUAAGUUCAAGUUAUUUACUCGAUGCAUUGAAUAAUUGCUCUUUACCUUUGUGAAAAAACAAGCUUCUAUUGUUGUUUGACAUAGAUAGAUUAUAAUAAAAAGCUGUGGAAUAGCUCCCCUUUUUCUUUUUGGUAAAGUGACUUUUGUUCUUUCAGCUUUCAUUUAUAUAAGUGGUAAUAUUUUUGCAUUUAGGCUUUGGAAACAUCAUACUAAAGUGAAUUGUGUAACUUCUUGUCCAUAUAUAGGCAAGAGGGUUGAAGAAACAUUUGAAGAGGCUCAAUGCGCCUAAGCAUUGGAUGCUUGAUAAACUUGGAGGUGCUUUUGUAAGUGACAUGUCUUUCCCUAUAGUCUUUUUUUUGAUAGUACUACUUAGUUUCCUCCUUCUUGACUUUACUUUUCUCCUUGGUUUCUACUGCAGGCUCCCAAGCCUUCUUCUGGUCCACAUAAAUCAAGGGAAUGUUUGCCAUUGGUUAUUAUCCUGAGGAACAGGUUGAAAUAUGCGUUGACGUACCGUGAGGUCAUUUCUAUCUUGAUGCAACGCCAAGUUAUGGUUGAUGGGAAAGUUAGAACAGAUAAGACUUACCCUGCUGGUUUCAUGGGUAAGAACACCUCUAUUAGAGUGUCUUUCAUUUCAAAACCUUUAGAUUUAUGUUCUCCUUAUUUCUGUACUGUCUAGGUUUGCGGUCUUACUGAUUCAUCUAUAUACACAUGCUUUCACAGAUCCAAAGACCAUUGUUGAUGAGAGUGUAUUCAAGCUUUUUUAUCAAAAAUUAUUGUCUCAGUGUCCUUUUUUCUUAUUUUUUUUCUUGUUGCUAUGUUUGUUGAAUUCCUUGACAAAUUGGUAAUGCUUUUAUUUUGUUUGUGUAGAUGUUGUUACUAUUCCAAAGACAAAUGAGAGCUUCCGACUUCUUUAUGACACUAAGGGUCGGUUCCGCCUCCACUCACUCAGAGACGAGGAAGCCAAGGUUUGAACCUGUAUCCUGCUUCUUCUUUGUUCCGGUUUGCUUUGGCUGUGCUGCUUAAGUAGUGACCUUGUUUUCUGCUCGCAGUUCAAACUUUGCAAGGUUCGAUCAGUCCAGUUUGGACAGAAGGGUAUCCCAUAUCUCAACACAUAUGAUGGAAGAACAAUCCGCUACCCUGAUCCCCUCAUCAAGGCCAAUGACACCAUCAAGCUGGACUUAGAUUCCAAUAAGAUUGUUGACUUCAUCAAGUUUGAUGUUGGUAAUGUGGUUAUGGUUACUGGUGGUAGAAACAGGGGACGUGUUGGAAUUCUUAAGAAUAGAGAGAAGCACAAGGGUAGCUUUGAGACAGUUCACAUUCAGGAUUCCCUGGGGCAUGAGUUCGCUACCCGUUUGGGGAAUGUGUUCACUCUUGGUAAAGGUAGUAAGCCAUGGGUGUCUUUACCUAAGGGUAAAGGUAUCAAGUUAUCUAUUAUUGAAGAGGCUCGCAAGAGGAUGGCUGCUCAAUCAGCUACAACUGCUUAAUAAUCAUAGGUUGAACUUGAGAUUAAUUUAAUAGAUUUGGUCAUUUUUCUCUUUGUUUAGAGGGAUGCCGUUCUUAUUUUUUGUGUUGCAUUUCAACAUCUGUGUACUUGGUACUAUUUUACAUACCUUUUUUUGUCAGGAAAAAAGAAAGACUCAGUUGAGAUCAAUCAGUUGCCUUUUAUGUGAUAGUAUUUUAUUGUUACAGUUUAUGAUCUUUGUCGAUGAGUUUAUUCACUUAUUUCAAAAUGUGUUUUUGGUUGUAAUAUCUUUAAAUCCAACCUGGUGUUGGAUUCCAAAUUUGGUAUAGUGCACUAAACUUGAUUCCUACUUCCUUUUUCGUAAACUUCAAAUGAAGUGGUUUCUUUUGUCCUGCAAAUAGUAUAAUCAAACAUAAUUGUCUAAUUUGAUAUAUUUUCCGAAUCUCUUGCCAGUUAAUUUCUGAUUUUGAUGUAAUUUUGUUUGAGUGGUGUCAUUAGAGUUAAAAUGAGAAGUUAAGUCAUAAAUUAUACAGACUUAACUGAGUGAGUGCAACCAAGGAUUAAUUACACUUGAUAUUGGUUUACAUAGUCCAUCUUUUGUAUUAAAAUGUAAGAAAUAAGAAUCAAUUAAACAUGAUAUUGGUUUACAUAGUUCAUCUUUUUUAUUAAAAUGUAAGAAAUAAGAAUCAUAUCCUCAACGAUGAAAUGAAAGUUAUCGUAUUGUCAGAUGCAAGUGACAACUCUUCAAGGCAAACGAUCAACUAAAACUAUUUAGUUAAAAAAUAGUGAUUUUAUUUCUGCUAAUGUAAGUGCCCAAAGCCAUUUUAUGUAUAGGUAAGUGAAUACAAAGUUUAAAGAAAUUCUCUCUGAAAAUCAAUGAUAUUUAUAUGUUUGACAUAUCUAUUCAUUUUCCAUUUUAUACAAAAAGAACUUCAAUAUCAAGUUAGUACAACAAAAAUGCUGAGCAUGUAGUUAGUCAUAUUAGGCACAAAUCAUCACUUAGUAGACAUAAAAUUACACAACCAGAUACGACUUAGUAGAAAUAAACAUAGUGUUUAACCAAAGAGCAAAUAGAAUCUAAAACAGUAUACGAAAUAUGCACGGUAAAUUCUCACAUCAAUUCAAUCACAAUAGUAAUUAUUGCCUGCAUAACAAAAUAGAAUGUUAGACUUUUGGUUUUCAAGCUAGAAAAUUCAAACUUCUUUCUUUCAGAUAAAUAUAGAGGCUAUGUUUGUUGGGUCGCAUAAUUGUUUGAUAAAUAAGGCCCAUAUUCUAUAGGCCCAAAACAAAUUGGGCGCAUGAGGUAUGUAAUAUAGUAUUUAACAGAUUGUAUCUUCAUCUCGUUAGGGUUUAAGACACACACCUCUCGCCGGUAGCCGUUACUCGCCGCAGCUAAUCAGUCGGAAAACCGCCAAAAUGGUUAGUUUUCUCUCUCUGUUAAUUCAUCUCGUCAAUUUUGUUUAGCUUGUUAUUUGUUGCCUGAUAGAUCAGUUGUAUUUUAGUCUUCAUGGCUUUUGUUCCAGGUCUACACUGUACUGUAUUAGUUAUACCUUUGCUAAUUGCUUGCUAUAUGUGUAAUUCAUCUAAUUCUUGGCUGUUCCUUUCGAUUUAUGCGCUCAAAUGUAUGUGUUGAUCUCAAGUGGUGCUGGUUAAUUUUAAGGCUCGUAUGUGUAAAUAAUCAAUUACAUUAGUUACUGUCGCCAUUAGAUAUUAGUGUAUACUGCUUUUUUAGUUGUAUUUUGCUGUCAUUUUGAUUGCUAUUGCACUCUAUGUUGUACUGUAUCAUACUGUUUUAAUGAAUUCAACAUUUGGAAAGAUUUUAUGGUUCUACAGUUAGAGCUACUUUAAUAAGUUGAUUUUAGUACAAAAUAAUAUUACUAAAUAAUUAGUAAAGAAAUAGUGAGAAAUUAAAUAAAUCGGACGAAAUUGGUCGUUACACAAGGUGAGUUGGUGAGAUGAGACGGAUACCUAACUGUUCUUUUAAUGAUAGCUUAAGAUUUGGACAGUGAAAUUGUGUAAUAUUGUUCAAGUUGUUGACGUAUUGAAAAAUUGUUCUUUACGCUUGUGAAAGAACAUGCAUCUAGCGUUGUUUAACAUAGAUAGAUUAUAAUAAAAAGCUGUGGAAUAGCUCCCCUUUUUCUUUUUGGUUAAGUGACUUUUGUUCUUUCAGCUUUCAUUUAUAUAAGUGGUAAUAUUUUUGCAUUUAGGCUUUGGAAACAUCAUACUAAAGUGAAUUGUGUAACUUCUUGUCCAUAUAUAGGCAAGAGGGUUGAAGAAACAUUUGAAGAGGCUCAAUGCGCCUAAGCAUUGGAUGCUUGAUAAACUUGGAGGUGCUUUUGUAAGUGACAUGUCUUUCCCUAUAGUCUUUUUUUUGAUAGUACUACUUAGUUUCCUCCUCCUUGACUUUACUCUUCUCCUUUGUUUCUACUGCAGGCUCCCAAGCCUUCUUCUGGUCCACAUAAAUCAAGGGAAUGUUUGCCAUUGGUUAUUAUCCUGAGGAACAGGUUGAAAUAUGCGUUGACGUACCGUGAGGUCAUUUCUAUCUUGAUGCAACGCCAAGUUAUGGUUGAUGGGAAAGUUAGGACAGAUAAGACUUACCCUGCUGGUUUCAUGGGUAAGAACAGCUCCAUUAGAUUGUUUUUUCAUUUCAUAAUCUUUAGAUUUUUGUUCUCCUUAUUUCUGUGCUGCUUAGGUUUGUUAUCUUAGUGAUUCAUCUAUACACAUGGUUUCACAGUUCCGAAGACAAUUGUUGAUCAGAUUGUCUACAAGCUUUUUUAUCAAAAACCAUUGUCUCGUGUCCUUUUUCUUCUUUGUUCUCUUGUUGCUAUGUUUGUUGAAUUCCUUGAUAAAUUGGUAAUGCUGUUAUUUUGUUUGUGUAGAUGUUGUUACUAUUCCAAAGACGAAUGAGAGCUUCCGACUUCUUUAUGACACUAAGGGUCGGUUCCGUCUCCACUCACUCAGAGAUGAGGAAGCCAAGGUUUGAAUCUGUUUCCUGCUUCUUCUUUAUUCCGGUUUGCUUUGGAUGCUGUGCUGUUAAAGUAGUGACCUUGUUUCUGCUCUUUGCAGUUCAAACUUUGUAAGGUUCGAUCAGUGCAGUUUGGACAGAAGGGGAUCCCAUAUCUCAACACUUAUGAUGGAAGAACAAUCCGCUACCCUGAUCCCCUCAUCAAGGCCAAUGACACUAUCAAGCUUGACUUAGAUUCGAACAAGAUUGUUGACUUCAUCAAGUUUGAUGUUGGAAAUGUGGUCAUGGUUACUGGUGGUAGAAACAGGGGACGUGUUGGAAUUCUUAAGAACAGGGAGAAGCACAAGGGUAGCUUUGAGACAGUUCACAUUCAGGACUCCCUGGGGCACGAGUUUGCUACUCGUCUGGGCAAUGUGUUCACUCUUGGCAAGGGUAGUAAGCCAUGGGUGUCUCUACCUAAGGGUAAAGGUAUCAAGUUAUCUAUCAUUGAAGAGGCUCGCAAGAGGAUGGCUGCUCAGUCAGCUACAGCUGCUUAAAAUGUCUAGGUUGGACUUAUGAUGAAUUUAACAGGUUGGGCCAUGAUUCUCACUGUUUAGAGAUACCAA
rnacentral:lncRNA from 1 species